GACGAACGCUGGCGGCGUGCCUAAUACAUACAAGUAGGACGCACAGUCUAUACCGUAGCUUGCUACACCAUAGGCUGUGAGUUGCGAACGGGUGAGUAACGCGUAGGUAACCUGCCUAUUAGAGGGGGAUAACUAUUGGAAACGAUAGCUAAUACCGCAUAACAGUAUGUAACACAUGUUAGAUGCUUGAACGAUGCAAUUGCAUCGCUAGUAGAUGGACCUGCGUUGUAUUAGCUAGUAGGUAGGGUAAUGGCCUACCUAGGCGACGAUACAUAGCCGACCGGAGAGGGUGAUCGGCCACGCUGGGACUGAGACACGGCCCAGGCUCCUACGGGAGGCAGCAGUAGGGAAUCUUCGGCAAUGGGGGGAACCCUGACCGAGCAACGCCGCGUGAGUGAAGAAGGUUUUCGGAUCGUAAAGCUCUGUUGUUAAGGAAGAACGAGUGUGAGAAUGGAAAGUUCAUACUGUGACGGUACUUAACCAGAAAGGGACGGCUAACUACGUG
rnacentral:rRNA from 1 species